rnacentral:rRNA from 1 species
CAGGCCUAACACAUGCAAGUCGAACGGUAGCACAGAGAGCUUGCUCUCGGGUGACGAGUGGCGGACGGGUGAGUAAUUUCUGGGAAACUGCCCGAUGGAGGGGGAUAACUACUGGAAACGGUAGCUAAUACCGCAUAACGUUCGCAAGACCAAAGUGGGGGACCUUCGGGCCGCACACCAUCGGAUGUGCCCAGAUGGGAUAAGCGAGAAGUUGGGUAAAUGGCGCACCGAGGCGACGAACCUGAGCUGGAUUGAGAGGAUGACCAGCCACACUGGAACGGAGACACGGACCAGACACUGACGGGAGGCAGCAGGGGGGAAGAUUGCACAAGGGGCGCAGCCCUGAUGCAGCCCUAGCCGCGUGGAGGAAGAAGGCCUACGGGUUAAAAAGGACUUACAGCGGGGAGAAAGGCGUGGAAGUAAGAACAGCACCGAGUGACGGGACCCGCAGAAGAAGCACCGGCGAACACCGUGCCAGCAGCCGCG